rnacentral:rRNA from 1 species
GACCACAGUGGGCCUGAAUAAAGCCCAUGACGAUUGUCACAGCAGUGAGGAAUAUUGGUCAAUAGCCUAACGGCUGAACCAGCAACUUGGAGGAAUGUAUAGCAAUAGCUACUUGCAUCUUCGUAUACAUGAUGCAAGAUCGACUCUGUCGAAUAAAAUUCUAGGUAGAAUUAUGAUAAUGACAUUGUCUGCCUAUGUGUCUUGACCAAAUUACGUGCCAGCAGUCGCGGUAAUACGUAGAAGACUAGUGUUAUUCAUGUUUAAUCGGUUUAAAGGGUACCUAGACGGUAAAUCAAGCCUACAAAUAAAAGAAAUGAAGGGACUAAUUUGCUAGAGUUACUUAUGAGGGGGUAUUAAAGUACUGCUGGUGUAGAGAUGAAAUUCUGUCAUACCUCUUUUCAAUAGAAAAAUAAUGGCACAGGUAUAGGCGAAAGCAUCCCCUUAUGUGAUAACUGACGUUGAGGGACGAAGGCUUUGUGUAGCGAACAGGAUUAGAUACCCCAGUAGUCAAAGCAGAAAAUGAUGAAUGUCAUAGAUUAGAUAUAUAAGUUUAUUCUAUAAAUGAAAGUGUAAGCAUUCCACCUCAAGAGUAAUUUGGCAACAUUGGAACUGAAAUCAUUAGACCGUUUCUGAAACCAGUAGUGAAGUAUGUUGUUUAAUUUGAUGAUCCGCAAAAAACCUUACCACAAUUUGAAUAUUUAUAUCUUUUAUUGUUUUUUUUUAUUUUUCUUCUUAUGACUUUUAUCCAUGAUUUUCUACUCAGUGAAGAAAAGGGAAGAAUACAAGAAAUAAGAAGNAAAAUAAAAAAAAAAUAAUAAGAUAUAUUUACAAG